AUUUAUAAAAUCUGAUAAUUUUCCCAAGCCCUGUAACCCAUAGCAACUAGAGAUGUAUUUGUAACCAUCACCUGUCCAUAUCAUGCCUUUUUAAUAACUUCAGAACUGAUAAAACUGUUUUUUAUUCAUUCUCCUGUGAUCCAAACGUAGUCUUGUCCUUUUCUCUAAUAGACUGCAUGCCUGGUGGGGAAUCAUUGGUCAUCAUGGUUUCAAAUUUUGGGGUGGCCGGGAGUGUUCGUGUGGGAGGUGUUCAGCAAGGGCAAGAUACCAUUUGAACAUUUUUUCAACUCCGAGGCUGUGGAAAAAUCUCAGCUGGACUGAGGCUCUUCAGACCCAAGAUGUCUUCUGAAAGAGUGUACAUGCUGAUGAACAACUGCUGGAAUAUGCCAGUAAGAAGCAGAAGAAAAGAGAUAAAGCAGAAUGGAUGGAAUUAAGAUCAUAAUACAGAAGAAGACAAGACAUUUCCCGGGACACUCUCAUGGAAUAUGCAGAUAAGAAGCAGAAGAAAAGAGCAGGGGAUGGAAUUGAGAUCAGAA